CCUACGGGAGGCAGCAGUGAGGAAUAUUGGUCAAUGGGCGGAAGCCUGAACCAGCCAAGUCGCGUGAGGGAUUAAGGCCCUGCGGGUCGUAAACCUCUUUUGCCGGGGAGCAGAGGUCCGGACGUGUCCGGGCCGGGAGAGUACCCGGAGAAAAAGCAUCGGCUAACUCCGUGCCAGCAGCCGCGGUAAUACGGAGGAUGCGAGCGUUAUCCGGAUUUAUUGGGUUUAAAGGGUGCGUAGGCGGGUUAUCAAGUCAGCGGUAAAAUCGUGGAGCUCAACUCCAUCCAGCCGUUGAAACUGAGGAUCUUGAGUGGGCGAGAAGUAUGCGGAAUGCGUGGUGUAGCGGUGAAAUGCAUAGAUAUCACGCAGAACUCCGAUUGCGAAGGCAGCAUACCGGCGCCCGACUGACGCUGAAGCACGAAAGCGUGGGUAUCGAACAGGAUUAGAUACCCCUGUAGUC
rnacentral:rRNA from 1 species